rnacentral:SRP_RNA from 1 species
GCCAGGUGUGAUGGCUCACGCCUGUAAUUCCAGCAUUUUGGGAGGCUGAGGCAGGAGGAUCGCUUGAGGCCAGGAGUUCGAGACCAGCCUGGCCAAUAUGGUGAAACCCUGUCUCUC